UACAGAGGGGGCAAGCGUUGUUCGGAAUUACUGGGCGUAAAGGGCGCGUAGGCGGCCUGUUAAGUCGAACGUGGAAUCCCCGGGCUCAACCCGGGAACUGCGUCCGAUACUGGCAGGCUUGAAUUCGGGAGAGGGAUGUGGAAUUCCAGGUGUAGCGGUGAAAUGCGUAGAUAUCUGGAGGAACACCGGUGGCGAAGGCGGCAUCCUGGACCGAUAUUGACGCUGAUGCGCGAAAGCCAGGGGAGCAAACGGG
rnacentral:rRNA from 1 species